rnacentral:tRNA from 1 species
GCGCCCGUAGCUCAGAUGGAUAGAGCGCUGCCCUCCGGAGGCAGAGGUGACAGGUUCAAAUCCUGUCGGGUGCGCCA